GACGAACGCUGGCGGCGUGCUUAACACAUGCAAGUCGAACGAGUGGCGAACGGGUGAGUAAUACGUGAGUAACCUUCCCUCCUUUUUGGGAUAAGCCUUGGAAACGGGGUCUAAUACCGGAUCAAGGGGAAUGGGCUCGCGGCCUAUCAGAUUGUUGGUGGGGUGAUGGCUACCAAGGCGCGACGGGUCGCCGGCCUGAGAGGGUGGACGGACACAUUGGGACUGAGAUACGGCCCAGAAUACUACGGGAGGCAGCAGUGGGGAAUAUUGCAAAAUGGGCGGAAGUGUGAUGCAGAGACGCCGCGUGGGGGAUGAAGGCCUUCGGGUUGUAAACUCCUUUUGACAGGGACGCGGUACCUGUAUAAGAAGCACCGGCUAACUACGGGCCAGCAGCCGCUGUAGUAC
rnacentral:rRNA from 1 species